AGAGUUUGAUCAUGGCUCAGGAUGAACGCUAGCUACAGGCUUAACACAUGCAAGUCGAGGGGAAACGACAUCGAAAGCUUGCUUUUGAUGGGCGUCGACCGGCGCACGGGUGAGUAACGCGUAUCCAACCUGCCCACCACUUGGGGAUAACCUUGCGAAAGUAAGACUAAUACCCAAUGACGUCUCUAGAAGACAUCUGAAGGAGAUUAAAGAUUUAUCGGUGAUGGAUGGGGAUGCGUCUGAUUAGCUUGUUGGCGGGGUAACGGCCCACCAAGGCGACGGAUCAGUAGGGGUUCUGAGGAGGAAGGUCCCCACAUUGGACUGAGACACGGUCCAACUCCGUACGGAGGCA
rnacentral:rRNA from 1 species